AUUAACCCUAAUCUACUCCUCUUUCAAUCUCUCAAAAUAUAUAUAUAUAUAUAUAUGAACAUUAAUCUCAUAUUACUCCCUUAGAUUUAAGUUUCUUCUUAAUUUGGAGCGUUAGAUUAGGUUGAUGGAGGGACCGGAUGAAAUCCCAUUUUUUGAUCCCGUAUUGCAUUAUAAGAUUGAAAACCACCCAAAACGGAAGGAACGAGAUUUAUGCGGGAUUUUGAUACAACCUUUCAUCUACUCACUCUCUCUCACUCCAAACGUCUAUCUCUCAAUUCACGUCUCUGCAAAUCGUCUCCCCAAAUUCCACCCACUCUCCAAUCCCUAGCCGCCACUAAGCAACAGGGUAUCUCCAGAAAUUGAUCGUUUUUCUUCGGAUUCACGGUCAAAAUCGAACUCCCGUAGCGGAAUGUACCGGUUGAAAAAAAAUUAGAUGGACCAGCAUUUUGGCUGAGGUGGAUCAAAUUGCUGCUUCUAAUAACUGGGCUGUUUUUGCAACAAAAUUUCAUCGAAAGCUCUCUUUCAAGGAUUUAUCAAUGGGCCUUUUUAUUUCUUGAGCAGAAAUUUAAGCUUUUGCUUCUGCUCGAUGGUAGCAACGAGACACAGACGAACCUCUAAAAUCCUUUUUCUAUUUCAUUGAAGAAUAAGAUCUAAAGGUUAGUGUGAUUUUCCAGCAGCGAAGUAGCUGAGAUUCAGGAACAAUGAAGUAAAAAAAGCCAGAUAAAUACUGUGAAAUGAGAUGGAUGAAGACGAAUCUGUACAUUAUUAAACUAGUAGUAUACAUUAUGUAUCAAAUAUUAUGCAUUAUUUGAUUGCUGUGUACAUAGGUGAAUGGGUGAAAGUCAUAUUUCUUUGUGCAUUA